rnacentral:rRNA from 1 species
UCGAUUCGUAUACCGCGGCUGCUGGCACGUAGUUAGCGGUGCUUAUUCUUCCGGUACCGUCAGUAGCGAACGAUAUUCACGUUCACGUUUCGUUCCGGACAAAGAGCUUUACAACCCGAAGGCCUUCUUCACUCACGCGGAAUGGCUGGAUCAGGGUUGCCCCCAUUGUCCAAAAUUCCCCACUGCUGCCUCCCGUAGGAGUCUGGGCCGUGUCUCAGUCCCAGUGUGGCUGAUCAUCCUCUCAGACCAGCUACCGAUCAUCGCCUUGGUGAGCCUUUACCUCACCAACUAGCUAAUCGGACAUCGGCCGCUCCCAUAGCGUGAGGUCCUUGCGGAUCCCCCACUUUCCUCCGUAGAGCAUAUGCGGUAUUAGUCCGGCUUUCGCCGGGUUAUCCCCCACUACGGGACACGUUCCGAUGCAUUACUCACCCGUUCGCCGCUCGCCGCCAGGGUUGCCCCCGCGCUGCCGCUCGACUUGCAUGUGUAAAGCACGCCGCCAGCGUUCAUCCUGAGCCAUGAUCAAACUCUAAUCACUAGUGAAUUCGCGGCCGCCUGCAGGUC